ACUUCUGAAGACGCGUUCCUCUUCUUUCCACAUGAACGGCGCCGCUCUUCCACCUCUCUUCUCCGGUCAACAAAAUCAAACCGUCGUCGCCAACUAAACCUCUCGGCGUCCACUUCUCACCGAUUCGUCUCUCCGAAUCUCAACUCAGUUUUCAAUCUUAAUCAUCUCUCACGAACAAUACACAGCGGCGGCCGGAAAGAAUCUCUCUCCGGACAUACCCUCACCCUCUCUCAUCUCGUUCUCUCUCGAUUAUGUUAUUGUUGUUAUUGCGUUGAUGUUCCUGAUUCUUUUUCGGUGGUGAAGAUUUUUGGAGACGCUUAAAUGGAGAAGAAAAUACCAGAGGCUACUCCGAACAGGGCUGUUCGGUAUAUGCAGUUAGUUUAGAUACCGAGCUUGGUGAGUUUUCCUAUGUUUUGAAGCAUGACUCAGAGGUAGGACCAUGGAAGGCGAGACUCGAAGACAGGCGAGCAAAGUGAAACCGAAGGAGACUUGGUAAAGGAAGAUGAAGAAAAUUUAAUGUGUAUUCUGCACUGUGUAAUUUUGUACCGAAUGUAACAUGGCCCUUUUUUAUGUACAUGGCAAUAAUAGUUGAAAUUUGAAUGAGUGUAUGAUUAUACCAGAAUAUGGAUCUGCAUAUGUUUGUAAUUUCCUUUGUAAUCUCCCCGGCUUGUAUCAUAACUUGUACCAAAUUUGAAUGAAAUAGA